GAUGAACGCUAGCUACAGGCUUAACACAUGCAGGCGAGGGGAAACGACAUCGAAAGCUUGCUUUUGAUGGGCGUCGACCGGCGCACGGGUGAGUAACGCGUAUCCAACCUGCCCAUCACUUGGGAAUAACCUUGCGAAAGUAAGACUAAUACCCAAUGACAUCCCACGAAGACAUCUGAAUGGGAUUAAAGAUUUAUCGGUGAUGGAUGGGGAUGCGUCUGAUUAGCUUGUUGGCGGGGUAACGGCCCACCAAGGCAACGAUCAGUAGGGGUUCUGAGAGGAAGGUCCCCCACAUUGGAACUGAGACACGGUCCAAACUCCUACGGGAGGCAGCAGUGAGGAAUAUUGGUCAAUGGGCGAGAGCCUGAACCAGCCAAGUAGCGUGCAGGAUGACGGCCCUAUGGGUUGUAAACUGCUUUUAUAAGGGAAUAAAGUGGGUCUCGUGAGACUUUUUGCAUGUACCUUAUGAAUAAGGACCGGCUAAUUCCGUG
rnacentral:rRNA from 1 species